rnacentral:rRNA from 1 species
UUGAACGCUGGCGGCAGGCCUCACACAUGCAAGUCGAGCGGAUGAAGGGAGCUUGCUCCUGGAUUCAGCGGCGGACGGGUGAGUAAUGCCUAGGAAUCUGCCUGGUAGUGGGGGAUAACGUCCGGAAACGGGCGCUAAUACCGCAUACGUCCUGAGGGAGAAAGUGGGGGAUCUUCGGACCUCACGCUAUCAGAUGAGCCUAGGUCGGAUUAGCUAGUUGGUGGGGUAAAGGCCUACCAAGGCGACGAUCCGUAACUGGUCUGAGAGGAUGAUCAGUCACACUGGAACUGAGACACGGUCCAGACUCCUACGGGAGGCAGCAGUGGGGAAUAUUGGACAAUGGGCGAAAGCCUGAUCCAGCCAUGCCGCGUGUGUGAAGAAGGUCUUCGGAUUGUAAAGCACUUUAAGUUGGGAGGAAGGGCGGUAAGUUAAUACCUUGCUGUUUGACGUUACCAACAGAAUAAGCACCGGCUAACUUCGUG